rnacentral:rRNA from 1 species
AUUGAACGCUGGCGGCAGGCCUAACACAUGCAAGUCGAGCGGGGUUUUCGGACCUAGCGGCGGACGGGUGAGUAAUGCGUAGGAAGCUACCCGACAGGGGGGGAUACCAGUUGGAAACGACUGUUAAUACCCGCAUAAUGUCUACGGACCAAAGUGUGGGACCUUCGGGCCACAUGUUGUCGGAUGCGCCUACGUGGGAUUAGCUAGUUGGUGAGGUAAUGGCUCACCAAGGCGACGAUCCCUAGCUGGUUUGAGAGGAUGAUCAGCCACACUGGAACUGAGACACGGUCCAGACUCCUACGGGAGGCAGCAGUGGGGAAUAUUGGACAAUGGGCGCAAGCCUGAUCCAGCCAUGCCGCGUGUGUGAAGAAGG